UUCGUUGUCGGGGUGAAGCUCGCUUAUUGAAUGGUGGUCGACUUGAUUCGGCCGGAGCUCCCCCAUUCUUUUAUUUCUUCUUCUGACUUUUGCUUUUUAUCUGGCAUCAGUCAGAAGCUCCUUCAUUUGCGCACAUAUAUUUGUAUACACGCUCUAGAAGUUCAGCAUAAAUUCGAAGGAGAGUUUUAUCCAAAGAAUAUGUGAAUCGAGAUCUCCUCAGACCUUUUUUCAUGGCCG
rnacentral:lncRNA from 1 species